CGUCAGGUCAGUCGGGCGGGCGGUCGCGGGGGCGGUCGCGGGGAGGCCGGCGCAGGAGCGUCCUGCCGAUCGGCCGAGGAAACCCGCGCGCGGGUAAGGCAGGGAGGCAGGCGGGGGCCGGGACGGGGAGACGGAGACGGGGACGGGGACGCGGUGUCUCUAUGUAUUCGGAGAAGAGAAGCCCCAGCUCUCCGGGGGGAGGCAAAGCCGGCAAAGCGAAAGGCGGCGGCGGCGGCGGCGGGGGGACACCCGCGGCGAGCGGCGCUUCGGGUCGGUUUCUUCUUCAGCCCGCGGCCGGGGCGGGCAGCGGGGCGAGCGAGCGAGCCACCGAGGAAGAAGCGCGGGAGGCGGCAGCACGGGCAGCAGCUCUGUGCUUCUCCAUGGGGCUUUCAGAAAAUACAGAUGCUGUAGGACAGGCUUGCAUCCUGGAGGGAAGCUCACACCUUGGAAGGAAACCUCAACAAGACAGCCAAGAGUCCUAAUGAUGGCAUUUGAUUCAGGGAGACUCAGCUCAUUCCCCAGCCCCACAGACUGCAUUGCCCACAGUCCCACAGGUCACAGCAAAGCUGGGACACAUGUUCCCAUGGACACACCUGCAGGAAAGUGUGGAGGGGUUUUGAUAGAUAAAGAUUUGUUGCUGAAUUAGGCAGGCUCAAAGGAACCUACAGGCCGCUUCGAGAAGCUGAGAUCAGAAUCUGCUGUGAGAAAGAGGGGCGUUCCACAAUCACCGGGGUCCUGGCGUGGCGUGAAUCAUCGGACGUAUCAUCAGUGAGACUCCAGUGCAUGGACAGCCCAUGAUACUCAUUUAGCAAAUCCAUGCUUGGAGCGUGGACGCAUGGUUAGAAUAUAGUUGCGUAUAUAAGGAGACUUGUUUCUGUAAUAAAUGGCUUUAGCGUGAUUCACAUUGAAUCAAAUUGUUUGCUGAGUCCUUUAUCGCUCCAACAAAUGGUGACUCCGACGUGAUACUCUGAACGGCGUACCACUGACGUUGGGGAAAAGCCUGGAGCGGCCCAGCCGCAGGCGGAUCAGCUGGACUGAGAACCAGGCGGAGGCGUACGGACGUUUCGCAUUAAUUUUAUUGAAGAAGGCCCCGGAAAAGGUGAGUGGCUGGGAGCAGGAGGAGGGAAGUUAUGGAGCAAAACAUUUCCUCAAGGAAGAAGCUAUAGUUAAACUCCUCCUGCAUAUUCUCUCUAUGAGAGGAUUUAAAUAGGAAGAAAGUAACAUAUGUAGACUAUUAAUUUGGUGUAGAAUUAAUGGCUACCCGAGAGAAAACGAGAAGGCUUUUAAACAUUAACUUUGGGAUGAUAAAGGGCAGAAAUUAUGGAAUAAGGUCAGCAAUGGAGAUGAUAAAGAAACUAAAUCGUUAGCGACUACAUGGAAGCUUAUAAUUUCCACCUUAAAAGACUUUAAGGCUGAGUGGGCUGCCGUUGCCGGAAUUUUUCUGGCGUUGCAGUCUGAUAACAAACCUAAAAAUGACUGUGAAGUUUACCCGGAUUGUGUCUUUCGACCCUUUCCCUACUCCAUCCCCUGUUGUGCCAUCGACACCCCCAAUGAUACAGCAGUCUGGGGCGGAGGGAGGAAAAUUACCGAGUGGAUGGACUCCUAUACCAUUACCCGACUCUAGAGAGAUCAAGAAGUCCAAAGGACUGGAGUCAGACAAUUUGUCAAAAGUACUGGUGAAAGCUGAGAAUGCUAAAGUCAUAAAUAAGUGUAAUAUCAGUUCUUUUACUGAUUCGUGUCCACCCUUACCACCUUCUACCCUUCUAACUCCUACAAAAGAUCAGAAGGAGUUGCUGGAUAAGAACUGGGCAAAAGAACUGUGUGAAAGAUCAGAUCAGCUAUUAGCGAGUGAAUCCAACAGUCAGCAACGCGGUCAUGCUGAUCGUGACGGGACUCAGGUCAUAUGAAUAAUUAUGAUGCUAGAAAGUAUUGCCGAGAAUGUGCAGUGUUCCAAACCCCCCGGUUACUAGUGAUUCUCCAGCACCGUUCAAGUCCAUGUUAUCUGAUGACGCGGAAGAGGAUGAGGGUUUGAAGCAUUUUUCUUGAAAAGUUAAGUAUGUGUACGAGUUGCCCCGAGAUCAGAUAAGAACUAUGAAAAACUCAAGCAAAAUUAGACGUAUCCAAUGUAACAGCUAUAGACCAUUUAGGACAGAACAAUGGGGAUUCGUUGGAAGGAGCAAGUAUCCCACAACUCCUGGAAGAGACACUAAUUGACACACCACAACUACAGACACGAUAAGUUUCUGAAAUCCUGAGGCAGUCAACAGACCUUGCAUAUCAAGCUAUGAGAAAGGUGCCUGAAACCAACAAAGCAGCCAAAUCAUUUACAACUAUUAAUCAGGGUCCCAAUGAGAACCACAUGCAAUUUAUUGACCACCUUCAAGAGCCCAUCAGUAAGCAGGUCGAAAACUUAGAAGCUAAGGAAGCACUAGUGUUGAGAUUAGCAGUAGAGAAUGCUAAUGUUUGCUAUCAACAUGUUAUUUGCAAGUUUUACAGUACAUAUUAUGUGCUCCUGUGUAUUGCCUCUCUAAAAAUCAAGCAGCUUGUCCGCAAUGUGAGUUAAUUGUUUUGCUAGUUGUUUUUAAGUGCUCUGUAAAACCUUCUGCCCACUUUUCCCACUCACACUGCAAGCAGCCCUGUGCCUUCCUCCCCUCCUCCCCCUCCCUCCCUCUUCUCAAGGUUUUUACUUGCAAGAUAGGGUCAAGAAUUAUUGUUUCCAGUUGUGUUCCUAAAAAAUCAGUAUUGGGAGGUGUUUUAAAACUUAGGAAAGCACUCAGAAUUAUAAGGAAGGAAGAUCUUGUUAAAUAUUGAAAUCAGUGUUGGCUGCUGUAUAAGUUAAAUGAUUGGGAAAAGUGUCCGGAGAAUAGAAUCUUGUUGCGAUUAAUGUUGUUUUUGAGGCCAGAAGAGCAGGACGAAAUAAAUCUCUACAAGAAAUCAUUAAAUCAUUUCAGACAGUUUCACAGGUGGGGCGAUUUGAACUUCAACAAGCUGAGAGAGUUAACUGAUAACACACAGGUCAGAAAACUUGUUAAAGUCUGCAAGAUGCUUUCCUUAUUAACCUGUUUUCUUUGUGGGUAUCUGUUUAAGCAUGUUGCAAUUUUGGUAGGCCUUUGCUACAUGGUACGAUAAGUUCGCAGUCUGUUAAAUCAUGAGAAUCCGUUGACUCAAAAUGUGCAUUUUGUGAUAAUACAGAAGAUCAUGAGUAAUUUAGUUCUUUACUGCGUGAAUGUGAUGGUAAAAUUUUGCGUGUAGUAGCUGUUAUUUUUCUCUCCAGCAUGCUACCUUUAAUCCAGCAUUCAGACUUGCGCAACUCUGUGACAGGCUGUGUCUCAUCUCGGUGUGGUGGAUUUGGCUUUUCCAUGUGUACACCAUGGAAAGAAUCCUGGUUUUGGAACAACAGCUGUAGCGCACCAGAUGAGACACUAAAAAACCAAAACAAACCACAAGAAAACAAAACAAAACAAAAAAAGGCCUUGCCCAGUCCAGCUCGCUGCAGUGGCUGGGGGGGUGGGUGCUGAUGGGGCUCCAGCGCGCACUGACCUAUUUUGUCGGGGAGACCCAGAGGUACCUCCACCUGGCUGAGCAGUAAGCGGCCCAGAGGUGCAAUGCAAAAAUUGAGAUAUUGUCUUAAAUUAGUGUGACUGUGAUCCAUCUGCAUAUUUGAACUGGGUAUUUGGUUUUCACAUCUGAGCUCAGUAUUUUAGUUUGCAUAUUUAUAUUUGGUACCAAAAGAAUCUUGUUUGGGGAGAUAAUUACAAAAUGGGAACCGGUUCCGCUGCUAAAAUUCCACCUUGCCCCCCCCCUUAGGAUGCAUCCUUACAUAUUAGAGUAAUUGCUUAUAUUGUUAGAAAAGCAUUUAAAUUGUUAAAAUGCUAUGAUAGAUGUGAAUUUGGAAGAGGUAUUUAAAAGUUGCUAGAAUAUUAACUGAUUUGGAUCUAGGAAAAUAGAAUAAUGGAUUUAUGUUUGUUAUACUGGUUUAUACUGUUUUUUGACAUCUCUAAAUUGUAAAAGGUAAAUGGAGCUAAGGAAUGUAACUAUUGCUGAGCUACUUGAAAUUGCAUAUAAAGUGUAUUAUGGCUGGAAUGAAAUGGGAAAACAAAAGAGCAAAAUAUCCCAGGCCUGUGUGCAGGUCAUUGUAACUGAGAAGUUUCCCAGAGCCUCCUACUUCGUACCAGCCAUUAUGCCAGCUGCAUGACCUUGGUUAUAUCUACACUGCACAGAAAGAAAAAACAACUGGAAAAACCUGGCUGCCCGCUUUUAAAGCAGUGAAAGGGGGGUUCUCUCUCCCCCCACUGCAGCGGUGUAAUACUGAAUGGAGCAGUCUGAGGGUGAAGUUUAAAGGCAUCCUUAGCAGACCCAUAGUUCUAAUGAAACUGGACAAUUAAACCAAAAAUUUGUUGAUAGACUUAUUCUGAGGUAAUUAGUUGUAAGAGACUUCUUAGUAAAUUCACCAUGCUAGUUUUUGAGGUCAUGUGAGAGAAUGAAAGAAAGGCCAUUUUUGGAGACCAAUAGAAUGCCAAAUUUGGAACAAAGUUUUAACACAUGAAUUCUUAUAGUUGCCAGAAAGUCCUAUACCUCUCUUGGGUCAGGAUUUGUUAAGUAAAUUGUAAGCUCAAAUAACGUUUUCUGAGAAUCCUGUUUAGUUGCAUGUCCUACAAGAAGCUGCUUGGAUGGCGCAGAUCUGCUUGCUGCAAGGGAGAAAUCUCCAAGGAAAUUUCAAAUGCAGUAUUUCCACUAGUAUUAACAGCCAAUGUUUCGAUAAAGCAAAUACUACACUGAGAAAUCUGAAACAGGACUUCGAUCCGGUAAGGGAAAACAAUAUCCAAUAAAUAUGACAGCCAAAAUGGAGUUAGAAACUUUGAGCAAUGAAUUUAUGACAACCUUACAGGCUGACUGCAUUCAAUUGGACUUGCAGGUUUGUCUAUUUAUAUCUACAACACAGAAACAACCUGUGGCUAUUGUGGGACGGUAUGAUGAGAAUGCUAACAGACUGAUAUACCUAUUGUCACUCUAAUCAAGAAAAUGCAGGGAAUGAAUUUAAGUCAUAAUAGGCCAUGAUCCUUUUGUCAUAUAUGUACCAUUUGUGAAACUGAAUUCUGAUUUUUUUUUAUUUGUAAUCCAUGUCUUUGUAAAUUGCACUAGCUGGUUUUCUUAACAGCACAGCUUUUGGCAUGCAUAAAUGUAAAUUGAUGCAGAACCUGCAAGUCUUUAACAUCAGGUCAUAGGCCAUACUUGUAUUUGAUCUGAUCCUACAUACUUGCAAAGUUUUUAUUGCUGGUUCUGGGAAGUCUCAUAAAGCUGUAGUGGUUUGGUGUGAAGAUAACAAUUGGCAUCAUUCUGUAAAAAUUAUUGAAGGUUCAACCCAAUUAGCAGAACUUGGCACAGCUUUACAUUACUUAGAGCUUUUUAAGGAGGAACCUCUAAAUUUGAUUUGUGAUUUUGAGUACGUAGUCAAGAUCCAACGUAUGUAUCUGGUUCUGAACUUUUUUUGUUUUUUGUUUUUAUAAAAAAAAAGGGGGGAAGUAGGGGAAACACCACAAAACCGGUUGUCAAAAGCAUUGUAUGUGGUGAAAUACUUUGCAAGUAUGACCCAAAACCAUGCUAAAUCAGAAAUAACCUACAUUAGUUAUGGUCAAAUUACUAGUCAAUGAGAAAGGCCACAUCAAUUGAUAACCUGGGGAAAAGGUUAUGUUUGUGUCAUUACAGGCUGAGGAUUGAAGUGGCUUCAACAAAGAUUCAAUGGAUGCAGAAGGACAGGAGGGAGAUAGUUGUGGCGACUGUUUCAGAUGUAAACCAUGAAUCCUAAUUCAGUGUUAUAGAUGCUCACAGAUCUGGUGGUCUAGAAGCCUAUUAGCAAGCAGGUGGUGUACCUUCUGUGGAGAAUGGCAAUUUGAACAAUCAGCAGGAGAUCCAAAAGGGUGAUAUUAUGAUCAGAUAGUCAAUGCAUAGAUAAGGUAAAAUUAUGAGAUAUCCCUACCAUAGUAAUCUAAGUUUAGCAACUGAUGAAGUUUUAGAAGGGAUAUUAAGGUUAAGCUAUUGAUCUUUUAAAUAGGUUAAGAUAACUUUUAAGAUAUUAAUUCAAUUAUUAGUAUAUGCUGAUGGUAUUAAGUACGUUACUCUAUAAACUGCGCAGUUAUAAAUCUUUUAGGAAUUUAAGAGAAAAUAUUGUAUUAACUUGUCUGGUUAUUUUGAAUCUAUUAAAAUAGUGCGUUAAUAAGGUUGUCAUAAUAGAAUUAAGGUUUUAAGAAUAGGCAGGUAUUUGUUUGAUCUUACUAAGUAAGGUUUAACUGUAUUAUAUGUAAUUGUAAUUAUGUUGUUAAUCACGUGUUCUGUGUUGCAGUAUAUUUCAAAAAUGAUGCACUGUGUGGUUAAAGGGGCCUGACUAAUUCAAGAACAGAAAGGGGGAAGUGUGCAGGGGUUUUGAUAGAUAAAGAUUUGUUGCUGAAUUAGGCAGGCUCAAAGGAACCUACAGGCCGCUUCGAGAAGCUGAGAUCAGAAUCUGCUGUGAGAAAGAGGGGCGUUCCACAAUCACCGGGGUCCUGGCGUGGCGUGACUCAUCGGACGUAUCAUCAGUGAGACUCCAGUGCAUGGACAGCCCAUGAUACUCAUUUAGCAAAUCCAUGCUUGGAGCGUGGACGCGUGAUUAGAAUAUAGUUGCGUAUAUAAGGAGACUUGUUUCUGUAAUAAAUGGCUUUAGCGUGAUUCACAUUGAA